AUUGAACGCUGGCGGCAUGCUUUACACAUGCAAGUCGAGCGGUAACAGGCCUUCGGGUGCUGACGAGUGGCGAACGGGUGAGUAAUGCAUCGGAACGUACCCAGAGGUGGGGGAUAACGCAGCGAAAGCUGUGCUAAUACCGCAUGUGAUCUGAGGAUGAAAGCGGGGGACCGAGCAGCAAUGUUUGGCCUCGCGCCUUUGGAGCGGCCGAUGUCGGAUUAGCUAGUUGGUGGGGUAAAGGCCUACCAAGGCGACGAUCCGUAGCUGGUCUGAGAGGACGACCAGCCACACUGGGACUGAGACACGGCCCAGACUCCUACGGGAGGCAGCAGUGGGGAAUUUUGGACAAUGGGCGCAAGCCUGAUCCAGCAAUGCCGCGUGCGGGAAGAGGGCCUUCGGGUUGUAAACCGCUUUUGGCAGGAACGAAACGGUGUCCGCUAAUACCGGGCGCUAAUGACGGUACCUGCAGAAUAAGCACCGGCUAACUACGUG
rnacentral:rRNA from 1 species